rnacentral:rRNA from 1 species
GACGAACGCUGGCGGCGUGCUUAACACAUGCAAGUCGAACGGAAAGGCCCUGCUUUUGUGGGGUGCUCGAGUGGCGAACGGGUGAGUAACACGUGAGUAACCUGCCCUUGACUUUGGGAUAACUUCAGGAAACUGGGGCUAAUACCGGAUAGGAUCUCCUGCUGCAUGGUGGGGGUUGGAAAGUUUCGGCGGUUGGGGAUGGACUCGCGGCUUAUCAGCUUGUUGGUGGGGUAGUGGCUUACCAAGGCUUUGACGGGUAGCCGGCCUGAGAGGGUGACCGGCCACAUUGGGACUGAGAUACGGAGCAGACUCCUACGGGAGGCAGCAGUGGGGAAUAUUGCACAAUGGGCGGAAGCCUGAUGCAGCAACGCCGCGUGCGGGAUGACGGCCUUCGGGUUGUAAACCGCUUUCGCCUGUGACGAAGCGUGAGUGACGGUAAUGGGUAAAGAAGCACCGGCUAACUACGUG